rnacentral:rRNA from 1 species
UACGUAGGCAGCAAGCGUUGUUCGGAAUUACUGGGCGUAAAGAGUGUGUAGGUGGUGUCGUAAGUUUGGUGUGAAAUCUCCCGGCUUAACUGGGAGGGUGCGCCGAAGACUGCGAUGCUGGAGUAUGGGAGAGGAGAGCGGAAUUCCUGGUGUAGCGGUGAAAUGCGUAGAUAUCAGGAGGAACACCGGUGGCGAAGGCGGGUCUCUGGGCCGAUACUGACGCUGAGGAGCGAAAGCGUGGGGAGCAAACAGG